AUUGAACGCUGGCGGCAUGCCUUACACAUGCAAGUCGAACGGUAACGGGCCUUCGGGUGCCGACGAGUGGCGAACGGGUGAGUAGUGCAUCGGAACGUACCCAUCAGUGGGGGAUAACUCUCCGAAAGGAGGGCUAAUACCCCAUAUCCUGUGCGCAGGAAAGCGGGGGACCGCAAGGCCUCGCGCUGAUGGAGCGGCCGAUGUCCGAUUAGCUCGUUGGUGGGGUAAAGGCCUACCAAGGCGACGAUCGGUAGCGGGUCUGAGAGGAUGAUCCGCCACACUGGGACUGAGACACGGCCCAGACUCCUACGGGAGGCAGCAGUGGGGAAUUUUGGACAAUGGGGGCAACCCUGAUCCAGCCAUGCCGCGUGAGUGAAGAAGGCCUUCGGGUUGUAAAGCUCUUUCGGCCGGGAAGAAAUCGCAUCUCCUAAUACGGGGUGUGGAUGACGGUACCGGAAUAAGAAGCACCGGCUAACUACGUGCCAGCCGCCGCGGUAA
rnacentral:rRNA from 1 species